rnacentral:pre_miRNA from 1 species
AAUAAGCGCAGCCAUAAGUUUUCAUGUCCAACUUUGAUCGUCCGUCUUAUUUAAAUUUUUUUAUGAUUACUAUUUUUUAUUAGAUUUUAAAACAUGAAUAAUACUUUAUGCGUUACUUAUGUUUUUU